UGUUUUUCUGAUUCAGGCUUACCAAAGACGAACUCGGCUACCUUUGUCUCUGGGCCAUCCCACUGCGUUGAUCAGUUUAACUCUUUUUCUUCUUUCUUUCAAGUUCCCAAAAGAGACGUAUUUUAGUGACCUGUCAUCUGCAGAAGUUCAGAAAUCAAACAGUCCCCUACCUUCUCAUGGAAUGACAUAACAAGCCUUUGGUAACCCCUGAAAUGUGUGAACACUGUGUUACCUACCAACAACACAAGCAUCAGCUGAAUGAUGUCUAUGAAAGUGUCUGGCACCCAGUCGAUGUUCAAGUACAUGUUCUUCACUUACUGUCUAUAUGGACAGGUUUAAAUUAAGAUAGAGUUCAACAGUAACUACUGCAAGGCAAAAUUAAUCAAGUGCUAAGUAGCGGUCAGAGCAAAGUACUGUGGCAGUGGAAGGAAUGCUUAAUCCUUGUUUUUUUUUUUUUUAAUUAUUUACUUAUUUGGGAAACAAGACAGAAAUGUAGAGUCCCUACAUGAUUUCCUCCCCUCCCCUAGUGGCUACAAUGGCCUGGGUUGGACCAGGCUGAAGCUGGGAGUCAGGAAUCCCAUUAAAGUCUCCUACAUGGGUAGCAGGGACCCAAGUACUUGAACCACCACUCGCUGCCUUCCAGGUGCCCAUAAACUGGAAGCUAGAAUCAAGGGUGGAGCCAGGAUUAGAACCUCUUAACUGCUAGACCAAAUGCUCUCUCUGGGAGUCACCAAUUCUGAUGGGAGGUCAGAGGGUGGAGAGCAUAUUACUUGUGCUUUGUAAGAUGAGUAGGAUUUUGCUAGAAAAAUAAUAAAGGCAUGGCUGGCUGUGAGCACUUUGUAAUGAAGGUCUGGAGUGGUGGGUACCUGGUAUAUUCUGGAAAUGGUGGAGAAUGUAUUGUUAUGGGAAUGAUGAGGAAGAAAAGGAACAACAUGCUGGAAUCCUUGGUUGGCAACGGUAGAGGCAGUAGAAUGCUGGGUGAAGGGCUUUAUGCUGUCAUAGGCACUGGAGGACCACUGAAGCUUUAGACUAGGCGUGUGGAUCUCUGGGGCUAAUAUUGACGAGUGGUUUAAGAGCGUGAAAAGGGGACCAGGAGUUUGCUGGUGACUCAGUUCACACCCCUUCAUCUCGGAUGGCCAUAGCUUUUAUCGCUGAGAAGCAUGUUAUCUUUGAAAAGGUGUGUGAAGUUAUAUAUGUUGUAUAGACAAGGAGGACCACCAAUGUGAUGCAUGUAAUUGAGGUGUUGCUUACAAACUCUGAUAUAAUGCUUUUCUUGAGGGAGCCUGUGUGUGCCAAAACCAAGCCCCUGAGUCACCAGCACACAGCAGGAAGAUCGCAAUGAACAGGGUCAAAAUCGCCAGGACCCAGCCCUCACAGUGAGUGUGGACCCUCGAGUGCCCGUUCCUGAGAAACCAUCCCAGGUCAUCAAAUCACGUGUCCUCACAGACAGGAGGUGCUAUUGUCUGUUCUCUCCACUGUCUGCAAGGAGUCUCCUGCUGAAGAAAGAAUUUAAAGAGAUGCAUAAGUUCCAGGGAACUUUCCUCUAAGACUAAUAACACCAGGGUGUUCCUCCCCCCAGCAAACUACUUGGAAAGAUUCAUGUCAUCAGAUGCUGAACUAGAAAUUAUGAAACAUUACCGUCAGUUUCUGAGUAUUCCAGGACUAGACGUCAACCAGAAACUUCAUGGUUUAGGGAUUCAAUAUCACGACACUUUGAGAUGCGACGCUUUCGGACAUCCCUUCCCUUCCCUUGGCUGCAAUCAGGGAGUCAGCAAGAAGGCUUCAGUCAUUGAAUGGAGGUAAGACACUCUUAUUUGUUCAUGAAAACCAGGGGAAAGAAAGAAGCAGUACUUCAGGUUUUUCUUGAUGGAAAUGCCAAAUUAAAAAGAUCUGUGGUAAGCUUUAAAAGAAGAAAAAGUAAAUCUCUGUUGGUUUUUAAAACAUGUAUGCAGAUUCUGGAUCAUGACUGCUUAAAAUGUCAGAAGAUUUCUGGAAGGCCUCAGAUACAUCAGAGACGUGACGUGUGGAAGACAGUGAUCUCAAUUCAAACUGCAGUGUUAAAAAAAAAAAAAAAAAAGAAAGAAAGAAAGAAAAAAAUCACAGUCCUUCCAAGCCUUAUUCAGCCUAGUUGCCUGUCUAGACACGCAAAUUGAACUGGAGUUGAAGCAAUUAUUCAGAUAAUUCAAAGGAAAAAAAAAAUUUCUUGGCUAAAAGAGAUGUGGGGAGCCCGAGUAUCUGGACUGUUUGCCUUCACUGAUCAAUGCCCCCCGUAGUCGCACUGAGCGCUGCAAAUUUGAAGACCACAGGAUUUGAGUCAGGGAGAAAGUUCACGAACAUUAUUUUUUUUUCUUGUGCAUUCAACUUCAAUCAAAUGUGUAUAAUUUAAAGGAAAGAAAAGGAAGGCUCUUGGGGAAUCUUCUUUCAAAAAAAUAAAGUUGUUUUGAUAAGAAAUAAACAAAUAUUGCAUUAGUAAGGACUACCUUCUCUUCCAAAAAUGUUUUCUGAAGACUAACCUUCUCAGUGCCUUUCUUUUACAGAUGAUAGAGCAAGAUUUAGCAGAAGAGAGGCUCAUUAGGCUCUCUGUAAACUGGAUGUGAUACCUUGCAGUUCAGUGAAAAUACCAACAGUUUCAUCUUUUGAAGAACAUUGGAGAUUCUUUUAAAGGUGAAACCUUUCUUCUUUAGGUUGAGACUUAACUCAAAAGCUUGCCAGUGCCAAACGCAUUUUGAAGAUUUGUGACUUAGAACCUACCUUACUUGCAUACCUCAUGAAACCACACCGCAGGCAAAAGAUGAAUUCCAGGCCCCAAACCACUGCCAUACCAGCCCUUCAAAGCUCUCCAACCCAGAGCCUCCUUGCCAUCUACUGGAGGGACAUCACCCAGACAUGAACAACCCAUAACUUUUCAACUGAGAGAAAAGGAGACCUAGUAGUGAUGGUGUUACCGCUGAUUCUAUCCCUGGGAACUUGUUCCAUCAGCUACCGAGAAUGUGGCCAAUGAAAAAACAGAUGAAAAGGAUUGGGCAUCGGACUUUAAAUCCAAGUUAAACCACAACAUUUCCAACUGUUUACAUGAAGAAGAGACAGAAGACACAACUGUUAAAAAUGUGUACGUUCUAAUAUAUAGCCAACUGAAGGGGUCAACUCUGUCGCAGAGAAGUAACCAAGACAGCAUUUUAAAAAAUUCCUAGUUUCUGUGAAAUUUCCUACUUUCAGAGUUUUUUCAUUAUAUUGAACUAUUUGUGAUUUAAUCAUGAACAUCUAAGACCUGAUGUACAGAAAUAUUUAAAAGGAAUUCAAAAUUGAAUGGGAACAUUUGUACACUCAAUAUGAUCCAAUGUUGUAGCCUCAGAGUUUUUCUAUGUGAAAGACAUCUUUACAUCUUUUCAAUAAAUGAGACUGGAA